UUAGUUGCUACGCAAGAGCACUCUAAUGAGACUGCCGUUGAUAAAACGGAGGAAGGUGGGGAUGACGUCAAAUCAUCAUGCCCCUUAUGACCUGGGCUACACACGUACUACAAUGGUGAUCAAACAGAGGGAAGCAACACAGCGAUGUGAAGCAGAACCCGAAAAAUCAUCUCAGUUCAGAUUGCAGGCUGCAACUCGCCUGCAUGAAGUCGGAAUUGCUAGUAAUCGCGGAUCAGCAUGCCGCGGUGAAUACGUUCCCGGGCCUUGUACACACCGCCCGUC
rnacentral:rRNA from 1 species